UGUCACCACUUCAGACUGCCUUACAGUGAGACUUAAAGAGAUCAAUCUAUUUAGUUUAUCAAGAUGAAAUUUCAACUGUGACUUGAUUAGGCUUUGUUUUGGAUGAACCAGAAAGGAAACAACAGGAACAGAACAGAGAGGAAUAGAGCAUCAUGAAAACAAAGUGUAAGUGGGUGAGUGCACGUCCAGUGAGCAUGCAUUGGGAAAUUUUCUAGUCAGCCGCACCUGCUGGAGUGGUGUACAUGCCCUUUCUUUCCGUGUGCACGUCGCCAGGGCAUAAAAGCUCCACCACAGCUUUACCACCAUGACAGCCCGUGACAUCAGGACUCCAAAGCAGCAGGGAAGGCUAUACUGGGGACUGCAGACAACGCCUGGUCAGAAUGGAAGAAUUGCAUGAUUUCACCUGGAGCCCAGUGAUGGUUUGAUGCCUGAGACCUGGAAUGACAUGUAUUCAUUGAGACCAGCAGGAGUCAGGGGUGCAGUUCACCCAGUAACUGUUACAAUCCAUUAAAAUAGCUA